rnacentral:miRNA from 1 species
GGCAGGGGAGUCGUUGCUGUCCUGUGCCCUCCAUGCCUCUGUCUGUCCCGGGGGGAGCGCAGGAUCCUGGGCUGUGUCCCCCCAGUGCCCUGGGA